AGCCUCGUCGUGCCCGGUGACCUUAGACCUCAGGAGCUCCCCGGGGCCCAGCUGGCACGGGCGCCGGUGGAGGGACGCUGGAGCGGCCCCACGGCGGGCAGCGGCCCCGAGGCAAGGCCGGCCGCACGCGCCCCUCGCAGCCUCGCCGGCCCCGAGGCUCCUCCCCGAGCUUCCGGAGCUCUCCCGAGCAGGAGGUCCCCGCCCCCGAACCCCGAGACCCCGAGACCCCGUCGCGCCGGCGCCCCGCCCCCGGCCCGCCCCGCCGGCCGCACCUGCCCGCGCGCACACGCCCCCCGCACGCCGGCCGCCACGCGCGCCGGGCCUCGGGCCGCCCCGCCCGCCCUGCCCCUGCGCCGCCGCCGCCGCCGCCGCCCCACCCCCCACCCCCCACCCCGGCACGCGCCCGCCGCCGCUCCCCCGCACCGCCCUCCUCGCCGCGGGCCGCCUCCGCCGCCGCCCAGCCGCCGGGCCCGCCGGGCGCGGGAGCCGAGCAGAGCCCGCACCGCGGCGCCAGGGUGCGCGGGCCGCCGCCGCCGCGCUCGUUGGCUGCGCUCAGGCUCCGGCGAGCGCUGUCUCCGCCUCCUCUUCCUGCGACCUCCUCCGUCCGCGGCAGCCUCCGCGCGCUCCCCGGGAGCGCCCCUACGCCCCGCCCGCGGCGACCAGGCCUGGGGGACCCGGGGCUCCGCGGCGCCCCGCCCGGCCAGCCCCCCGGCCCGCACAUGGUCUGAGCCCCGCGGCCAGAGCUGCGCCCUGACGCGAGGGACCGCGGCGUUCCCGGCCCGGGGCCGCGGGGACCUCCUGGUGCCGACGCUCUCGCAGUAUUUUAGGGUGGGGCGGGGAGGGCCCUGGGUUCCGGGGAGUGGGGGUGGGCGGGGAGGAGGGCCCGGGGGGAGCCGGACUCCGCCAGGGAGCCGGGGAGACACUAUGGGGAAGGACCAGGAGCUGCUGGAGGCCGCCCGCACUGGAAAUGUGGCUCUGGUGGAGAAACUCCUGUCUGGCAGGAAAGGAGGGAUCCUGGGCGGCGGAUCCGGACCCUUGCCCCUGUCUAAUCUGCUAAGGUAA
rnacentral:lncRNA from 1 species